GGAGACAUAUGAAUCUGUACAUUAAGCCACACAACUAAUGAAACCUAAUAGGCAUGACACUGUUUUUUUCUUCUUUCACAGGUUUUCCACAAUAAGCAGGCCACUCCUCCUUCCAUCUCCAAUGGGCUUUGGGAAAGGUAUAAAAGCGCCACAACCAUCUUCUGCGUCAGGACCAGUUGAAGUGCAAUAUUGAAGCCUGUACUGUACGAUUCAGGAUCCAGACUCUAACCUCAAGGCAUGUUGACCAGGAAUUUUCUCAUCCUCUGCUCUCUGGCAGUUCUGCUAGUACAAGCUGACUUCGAUACUAAUAACAAUCAUGCUGCCCAAGCCAUGUCCACAGAUAAGGACUCAACCUCGGAGGAAGCUCCAACUGAGAGCAUAAAUGCCAUCUCCUCGGAUCAGCCUAACGGUGAGCACAGCAGGGGGGGGGGGGGGGGUGUAUGAUGUCCUACCUAUGGGAGAGGGAAAGGUCUAGGCAUGGGGCAAACUCUGGAAGGGAGAGUGCGAGUGCACACUUCAGGAAGAGAGUGGAUUACUGGGACGAAGCCUCUGAUCCUCUCUAAAUAAAGGUGGGUCUUGUAGUUUUUACUAACCCAGGUCAGAUGGUUGUUUGUCUGCUGAUGUGACAUGAGACUGGUUAUUUGAAAGUCAAAUAAAUCAAUUUUCUCAAGAAAGCGGGAGGAAGCUACAAUAGUGGUGUAACUAUGUUGACUCUUGAGUGUGUCUAGCAUAAACAGGUAAACCAUGCCCACUGAAAGUUAAAAUUAGCUGAAAAAACGAAAAUGUUCAUCUUCAAAUCUAUGACAAAGAUGUGAUGUUAAAUGACUAGUUCUAUAACAUACUGCCUGUCAACUUUGUAACAGCCUGUUCUUGCGAGAAAUUUAGGUUCUGUUCUGUGCAUGGACAUUCUGGAGUGUUCCUGAGUCACUGUCACAGGAACAAAUAUAUAUAUAUUUUUUCCCACUGGAAGUGAGCUAUGGGAAGGGCUAAACAGACCAACUAGCCCAAAUCAAAAACUGACCUUUAACCCUUAACUUAACCA
rnacentral:lncRNA from 8 species